rnacentral:rRNA from 1 species
AUUGAACGCUGGCGGCAUGCUUUACACAUGCAAGUCGAACGGUAACAGGCCGCAAGGUGCUGACGAGUGGCGAACGGGUGAGUAAUGCAUCGGAACGUGCCCAGUCGUGGGGGAUAACGCAGCGAAAGUUGCGCUAAUACCGCAUACGAUCUAUGGAUGAAAGCGGGGGACCGUAAGGCCUCGCGCGAUUGGAGCGGGCGAUGUCAGAGUAGGUAGUUGGUGGGGUAAAGGCUCACCAAGCCAACGAUCUGUAGCUGGUCUGAGAGGACGACCAGCCACACUGGGACUGAGACACGGCCCAGACUCCUACGGGAGGCAGCAGUGGGGAAUUUUGGACAAUGGGCGCAAGCCUGAUCCAGCAAUGCCGCGUGCAGGAAGAAGGCCUUCGGGUUGUAAACUGCUUUUGUACGGAACGAAACGGUCCUGGUUAAUACCUGGGGCUAAUGACGGUACCGUAAGAAUAAGCACCGGCUAACUACGUGCCAGCAGCCGCAGUAAGAC